UACGAAGGGGGCUAGCGUUGCUCGGAAUCACUGGGCGUAAAGCGCACGUAGGCGGCUUUUUAAGUCAGGGGUGAAAUCCUGGAGCUCAACUCCAGAACUGCCUUUGAUACUGAGGAUCUUGAGUUCGGGAGAGGUGAGUGGAACUGCGAGUGUAGAGGUGAAAUUCGUAGAUAUUCGCAAGAACACCAGUGGCGAAGGCGGCUCACUGGCCCGAUACUGACGCUGAGGUGCGAAAGCGUGGGGAGCAAACAGG
rnacentral:rRNA from 1 species